AUUGAACGCUGGCGGCAGGCCUAACACAUGCAAGUCGAACGAGUGGCGGACGGGUGAGUAAUGUCUGGGAAACUGCCCGAUGGAGGGGGAUAACUACUGGAAACGGUAUCUAAUACCGCAUACCCUCGGAUGUGCCCCGCUGGGAUUAGCUCGUAGGUGAGGUAACGGCUCACCUAGGCGAGGAUCCCUAGCGGUUCUGAGAGGAUGACCAGGCAAACUGGAAUGUAGACACGGUCCAGACUCCUACGGGGGGCAGCAGUGGGGAAUAUUGCACAAUGGGCGUAAUCCUGAUGCAGUCAUGCCGCGUGGAUGCAGAAGGCUGUCGGGUUGUAAAGUACUUUCAGCGGGGAGGCGGUACCAGCAGAAGAAGCACCGGCUAACUCCGUGCCAGCAGCCGCGGUAAUUC
rnacentral:rRNA from 1 species